CUAGUGUAUAUAUAAAUUAUUGGGUAAUUCCCCAGUGUGUUUGUGGAAAUAUUGAACUUUUUCACUGAGUAAAAGGGCCACGGUUGGCAGCAGGGUGGAGCAAAGCAAGUUUAAUGCCGUGUUUAGCCAUUGGUCUCUUUCUUAUGUCUGGUCUUCACAAGAUAAGGUCACGGGUUGUUUUAUACGAGUAUCUUUCAUUUAUUUGCACCGUAAACUCAGUCCUUUGUCUGGACAAUUGUUCCUUUAUGAUCUAGUCAGGUCAUUACAACAGUAAAAUGCUCUAAACACACUUUGCUGUCCUGUUUUCCAAUCGUCCACAUGGCUGGGAGAACCUAUUCAAGUAGCUACCUAACAGCCAGAGAGGAGGGUGAAAGGAUAGCAGCCCCAACUGUGGAUAGAGCAGAGAGCUGUGAAAUCCUGUCUACUCAAAGGGGUGCACGUUUUUGCACUGCACAGCUGACACAAAUGAUCAACUCAUCAAGCUUCAAGUGUUAACAUGUAGGGCACUGCAAGGUUGGGUGACCAGGGCCAUCUGGGACUGCCUCCUGGAGGAAUUCAGGUGUGUGAAGGCUACCUGUGUCCUGCAUAACGUCAUGAGGAUGGACACGAGGACCAGGAGGAGGGGGGGGGUUAUAUCAGCUGUGUCCUGUGUUUAUCAGAUCAAUGCAGAUGAAGGAAAUUACAUAUGGAGAUUAACUGUAUUUACAUGAUGUAUAGGAAGUGUAGUGUACUGUUUUUAAAUUCUAUUUCUGCAUAUAUGAAUUACAAAUCAGUCUUUAACUAGUUAAAUCAUGUUUCUGCUCUAUUGCAUAGUUACAAUGUGUAAUCAUUGAUGUCCCAGGAUCAAGACUGGUAAACACUGUUAAAGUGUAUAAUUGUAAUACAUACAUGCAGACACAGCGUCAUUCAAAGACUGUAAUUUGAUAGUCCUGGUAUUGGAUAUGACUGAAGAAUAAUCUCAAAGACAUUCAUUAUUUUAUUUGCCAAGGUAGAGUACAUGAUCAGUGAAUAUAUUAAAUGUACAGGCUACAAUGUGGGAUCUCAAUAACUACAUGUAUAUACGACUUGCAACCUUGGCACAAAGUUAUUAUAUUCUCCUCAAUCCAAAGGCUUCAUUAAUGUCAUUCAGACUGUUUUGAAGAUACAACAGGCUAUGAAAUCUGAGGUUCAUAGCUAGGUUCUGAACUAAUUUGUAUACCAAACGUUUUAGGGUUCAUACACAGAUCGGCUACACAUCUAUAGGCAUACGGAUAUUUUUUAUUCUGCACUGCACAAGAAGCAAGGAAAUAGCUAGCUACGAUACUUCAUCUGCAUUGCAAAUAUCAGCAAGGCAAGCUUACAAAACGGUACAUUCAAUUUGCAGUAAAUGCUUUAGCUAGCUAGAUUAUUUACAUCUACUGUUUCACAGUUUUGCUGGUUGUUUCAGGAGUCCCUAAAACAUUAAACAGCCAGAAUUACAAUUUCAUACUCAUGUCACAACACCCAUAAAGCUAGU